rnacentral:rRNA from 1 species
UACGUAGGGUGCAGGCGUUAAUCGGAAUUACUGGGCGUAAAGCGUGCGCAGGCGGUUUGCUAAGACAGGUGUGAAAUCCCCCGGGCUUUAACCUGGGAACUGCGCUUGUAACUGGCAAGCUUGAGUGUGGCAGAGGGGGGGUGGAAUUCCACGUGUAGCAGUGAAAUGCGUAGAGAUGUGGAGGAACACCGAUGGCGAAGGCAGCCCCCUGGGCUAACACUGACGCCUCAUGCACGAAAGCGUGGGGAGCAAACAGG